rnacentral:rRNA from 1 species
UACGUAGGGUGCAAGCGUUUGUCCGGAAUUAUUGGGCGUAAAGAGCUCGUAGGCGGUCUGUCGCGUCGGCUGUGAAAUCCCGGAGCUCAACUCCGGGUCUGCAGUCGAUACGGGCAAACUGGAGUACUGCAGGGGAGACUGGAAUUCCUGGUGUAGCGGUGAAAUGCGCAGAUAUCAGGAGGAACACCGGUGGCGAAGGCGGGUCUCUGGGCAGUAACUGACGCUGAGGAGCGAAAGCAUGGGGAGCGAACAGG